rnacentral:rRNA from 1 species
UACGUAGGGGGCAAGCGUUAUCCGGAUUCACUGGGCGUGAAGGGAGCGCAGGCGGCACGGCAAGUCUGGUGUGAAAGCCCGGGGCCCAACCCCGGGACUGCAUUGGAAACUGCCGGGCUGGAGUGCCGGAGGGGUAAGCGGAAUUCCUGGUGUAGCGGUGAAAUGCGCAGAUAUCAGGAAGAACACCGGUGGCGUAGGCGGCUUACUGGACGGCAACUGACGCUGAGGCUCGAAAGCGUGGGGAGCAAACAGG